UCUUUGACCCCGGAGAGGAGGGAAGACACGGACCGGAACACGGAGCGGAUCAGAGGCAGAUGGGAGGCUCUGAGCAGGGCACUGGUCUGAAACGGGUCAGAGAGCCGUCACAGCAAGAACCAGAACCAGAGCUCUGAAGAGAAACAAAAUGGACAUCACAGGUCUUCAUCUACACCAGAACCAGGCAGGACGGUCAGAACUACCAGAACCAAUGAGGAGACUUCAGAGGCCUUCAUGACUCCAGAACCAGAACCGGAUUAAAUCACCUCGUAAAGAUUCA